UGCGUAGGCGGCGCGGUAAGUCGGGUGUGAAAUCUCGGAGCUUAACUCCGAAACUGCAUUCGAUACUGCCGUGCUUGAGGACUGGAGAGGAGACUGGAAUUUACGGUGUAGCGGUGAAGUGCGUAGAUAUCGUAAGGAAGACCAGUGGCGAAGGCGGGUCUCUGGACAGUUCCUGACGCUGAGGCACGAAGGGUCAGGGAGGCAAACG
rnacentral:rRNA from 1 species